UGAAGAAAAUAUAACAAUUAUAAAAUAUGAUAUUAUGAAUAAUAUUAAAUUUGAAAUAGAAUAAUGAGAAAAAAGUAAAAAAUGGACGAGAUUGUGUUGAAAUUAAAAAUUUUGGGGCGAAUUUUAAAAUCAAUAAAGGGGAAGGGGACUGAUUUGAAUAUGCGAGCGUUCAAGAGGGUUUAAAGGAGUAAAUAGUCCAACUUUCCAAACGACGCCGUUCGUU
rnacentral:lncRNA from 1 species